rnacentral:rRNA from 1 species
CCUACGGGAGGCAGCAGUAAGGAAUAUUGGUCAAUGGACGCAAGUCUGAACCAGCCAUGCCGCGUGGAGGAUGAAGGUCCUCUGGAUUGUAAACUUCUUUUAUUUGGGAAGAAACCCACGAUUUCUAUUGUGGUUGACGGUACCAGAUGAAUAAGCACCGGCUAACUCCGUGCCAGCAGCCGCGGCAAUACGGAGGGUGCAAGCGUUAUCCGGAUUCACUGGGUUUAAAGGGUGCGUAGGCGGGCAGGUAAGUCAGUGGUGAAAUCUCCGAGCUUAACUUGGAAACUGCCGUUGAUACUAUCUGUCUUGAAUGCUGUGGAGGUAAGCGGAAUAUGUCAUGUAGCGGUGAAAUGCUUAGAUAUGACAUAGAACACCUAUUGCGAAGGCAGCUUGCUACACAGAAAUUGACGCUGAGGCACGAAAGCGUGGGGAUCAAACAGGAUUAGAUACCCUGGUAGUCCACGCCCUAAACGAUGGAUACUCGACAUCAGCGACACACAGUGGUGUCUGAGACGAAGACAUUAAGUAUACCACCCGUACGGUAAGGUACGACCGACGACGGUUAGUAAACGUACGAAGAAAGUUAGUACGGACGUUGAGACGNGCCGACGGACGACGACGACGGGAGGUAGGGAG